rnacentral:rRNA from 1 species
GACGUAGGAGGCGAGCGUUGUCCGGAUUCAUUGGGCGUAAAGAGCGCGCAGGCGGCUUGGUAAGUCGGAUGUGAAAUCCCGAGGCUCAACCUCGGGUCUGCAUCCGAUACUGCCCGGCUAGAGGUAGGUAGGGGAGAUCGGAAUUCCUGGUGUAGCGGUGAAAUGCGCAGAUAUCAGGAGGAACACCGGUGGCGAAGGCGGAUCUCUGGGCCUUGCCUGACGCUGAGGCGCGAAAGCUUGGGGAGCAAACGGG